rnacentral:rRNA from 1 species
ACCCGCUGAACUUAAGCAUAUCAAUAAGCGGAGGAAAAGAAACCAACAGGGAUUGCCCUAGUAACGGCGGGUGAAGCGGCAACAGCUCAAAUUUGAAAUCUGGCUCUUUUAGAGUCCGAGUUGUAAUUUGCAGAGGGCGCUUUGGCUUUGGCAGCGGUCCAAGUUCCUUGGAACAGGACGUCACAGAGGGUGAGAAUCCCGUACGUGGUCGCUGGCUAUUGCCGUGUAAAGCCCCUUCGACGAGUCGAGUUGUUUGGGAAUGCAGCUCUAAAUGGGAGGUACAUUUCUUCUAAAGCUAAAUAUUGGCCAGAGACCGAUAGCGCACAAGUAGAGUGAUCGAAAGAUGAAAAGCACUUUGGAAAGAGAGUCAAACAGCACGUGAAAUUGUUGAAAGGGAAGCGCUUGCAGCCAGACUUGCUUACAGUUGCUCAUCCGGGUUUCUACCCGGUGCACUCUUCUGUAGGCAGGCCAGCAUCAGUUUGGGCGGUAGGAUAAAGGUCUCUGUCACGUACCUCCUUUCGGGGAGGCCUUAUAGGGGAGACGACAUACUACCAGCCUGGACUGAGGUCCGCGCAUCUGCUAGGAUGCUGGCGUAAUGGCUGU